GAUGAACGCUAGCGGCAGGCUUAAUACAUGCAAGUCGAGGGGCAGCAGUUUUGUAGCAAUACAGAAGCUGGCGACCGGCAAACGGGUGCGGAACACGUACGCAACCUUCCUUUAACUGGGAGAUAGCCCACCGAAGGGUGGAUUAAUAUCCCAUAAUAUAACUGAAUGGCAUCAUUUAGAUAUUAAAGCUCCGGCGGUUAAAGAUGGGCGUGCGUCUGAUUAGGUAGUUGGCGGGGUAACGGCCCACCAAGCCUUCGAUCAGUAGCUGAUGUGAGAGCAUGAUCAGCCACACGGACACUGAGACACGGGCCCGACUCCUACGGGAGGCAGCAGUAAGGAAUAUUGGUCAAUGGACGCAAGUCUGAACCAGCCAUGCCGCGUGGAGGAUGAAGGCCCUCUGGGUUGUAAACUUCUUUUCUUUGGGACGAAACCCCUGUUUCUACGGGGACUGACGGUACCAGAGGAAUAAGCACCGGCUAACUCCGUGCCAGCAGCCGCCGUAA
rnacentral:rRNA from 1 species